rnacentral:rRNA from 1 species
UACAGAGGUCUCAAGCGUUGUUCGGAUUCAUUGGGCGUAAAGGGUGCGUAGGCGGCGCGGUAAGUCGGGUGUGAAAUCUCGGAGCUUAACUCCGAAACUGCAUUCGAUACUGCCGUGCUUGAGGACUGGAGAGGAGACUGGAAUUCUCGGUGUAGCGGUGAAAUGCGUAGAUAUCGAGAGGAACACCUGCGGCGAAGGCGGGUUGCUGGGCCGACACUGACGCUGAUGCGCGAAAGCCAGGGGAGCGAACGGG